UUCUUUUAAAUAAAUAAACCGUUUUAAAGCUUUAUAUGGAAAAGAAAAUAUUUUGCUUUUCUAUGAAAACGCUUAAUUGUUAGUUCAAUGUAAUUGUUUGGUUUUUUUGGGGUUUUUUUUUGCAACUGCUUUAUGCUAAUUUCCCUCCAUUAUUUUGCAAUUAUUAACUUAUAUCUUCAAACUUUAUUAUUAAUUAUUAAAGGUCUAUAUAUAUGUAUAUAUAUAUCUCAGUAACUUGAUACAAUGAAAUGUCUAAAAGUUUGAAAAUCUCUUGAACUAAAUAUGAAACAUUAUUGUUUUGUAUCCUGCAUUAUCUUCCAAAAUAUCAUUAGAACUAAAUUUGGAAAAGGAUAUUUCUCAGUCUCUGGAUGAAAGAGAAAUUAUUCUCUGCUCAGUUUUUCUACUUGCUUUCGUAAAAAAAUCUAGGUUAAAAAAGAAAAUAAAAAAUCAGGGAAAUAUUUUUCAAAAGUAUCUUCAGGUAUUAGUGCCUUUUAUGAAAAUAAUUCUUUUUUGUUGCUACCAAUCAUUCUCUAGAUAAUAAACAUUUUUAGAUAGAAUCUUAUCUGAAAUAUAUUUUCUGUAUCAUUUUCAUCAGUUUUGUGUGUGUGCUUGUGUAUAUAUAAAUAUAUAUAUAUAUAUAAUGAUGGCUUCUGUUAUUUCUAAAUGUAUACUUAGCACUGUACACUGAAUGUCAUUUGUUGCUUCUGAAGCUGCUGUUUGAUAUUGAACCCACUAGCAGACUUGUAGAGCUCUUCUCUGCUUUCAGCAAUGUUUACUCAAUUUUCAAUUCCAGAUUCUUCACUCAUUCUAUGAUCAGUAGCACAUCACCUUAAACUCAUUGCUUUUGUGUCUCUCAGUGAUUUUUAUCUUCCACCAGAGAAUCUUUUGCUGGUUAUUAAACGAGAUUAUAAAAUUGAUUAUUCUAACUUAUGAUGUUUUGUAUUCUAAUGAAUGUACUAUCUUCCCUUUCUGAGAACAUCUUUGUUAAUUUUCAUCAAAAUUGUUUUGAGGGAAUAGACAUUUUUAACCUUGGUUGAAAUAUAUAUUAACAAUAGGACACGGAAAUGAAAUAAUGCAUCUUUUCUCUGAAAUAGGUGAUUUUGGUGUUGUAGGUUCACUGCAGUAAACUUUGGUGACAUAACCUUGAAGCAGAUAAUUAGCAG